rnacentral:rRNA from 1 species
CAAUAGCGUAUAUUAAAGUUGUUGCGGUUAAAAAGCUCGUAGUUGAAUUUUUGCUUGCCGCCGAUGUCGGAACUUCCGUACGUUCGGCGGCGUGCAUCCUUGGGUGGAACCUGUGUGGCAUUAGGUUGUCGUGCAGGGGAUGCUCAUCGUUUACUGUGAAAAAAUUAGAGUGUUCAAAGCAGGCUUACGCCGUUGAAUAUAUUAGCAUGGAAUAAUAAGAUAGGACCUUGGUACUAUUUUGUUGGUUUGCGCACCGAGGUAAUGAUUAACAGGGACAGUUGGGGGUAUUCGUAUUCCAUUGUCAGAGGUGAAAUUCUUGGAUUUCUGGAAGACGAACUACUGCGAAAGCAUUUACCAAGGAUGUUUUCAUUAA